rnacentral:rRNA from 1 species
CGGACGGGUGAGUAAUUCUGGAAUACUGCCCGAUGGAGGGGAUAACUACGGAAACGGUAGCUAAUACCGCAUAACGUCUUCGGACCAAAGUGGGGGACCUUCGGGCCUCACACCAUCGGAUGUGCCCAGAUGGGAUUAGCUAGUAGGUGGGGUAACGGCUCACCUAGGCGACGAUCCCUAGCUGGUCUGAGAGGAUGACCAGCCACACUGGAACUGAGACACGGUCCAGACUCCUACGGGAGGCAGCAGUGGGGAAUAUUGCACAAUGGGCGCAAGCCUGAUGCAGCCAUGCCGCGUGUAUGAAGAAGGCCUUCGGGUUGUAAAGUACUUUCAGUGGGGAGGAAGGCGAAGAGGUUAAUAACCUCUUCGAUUGACGUUACCCGCAGAAGAAGCACCGGCUAACUCCGUGCCAGCAGCCGCGGUAAUACGGAGGGUGCAAGCGUUAAUCGGAAUUACUGGGCGUAAAGCGCACGCGGGCGGUCUGUCAAGUCGGAUGUGAAAUCCCCGGGCUCAACCUGGGAACUGCAUUCGAAACUGGCAGGCUAGAGUCUUGUAGAGGGGGGUAGAAUUCCAGGUGUAGCGGUGAAAUGCGUAGAGAUCUGGAGGAAUACCGGUGGCGAAGGCGGCCCCCUGGACAAAGACUGACGCUCAGGUGCGAAAGCGUGGGGAGCAAACAGGAUUAGAUACCC